GCCUUCGUAGAUCGCGGUGAUCCCUCCCACUCAAUAUUGUAGUAUUCAGUUGAUGAUCUUAGGGAGAGGCGGAGGUUCGAAUCCUCCCGAGGGCA